CAUCCUCAUCGUCAUUAAGGAAUGGCGCAUUAGAAAUCGAAUAAUGAAUUGUUUUUUUAUACCACUCCAGGUGGCGUUUUACAUAUAAACAUUACUCAAUGGACUACGAAGGAAACUUUACAAUUAGUAACAAAUCUCAAGAAAGACAGUGUAUAUUUAAAUUUUAAAUUGGACCUCAUUGGAAAUGGGCUUGACUCCGGACUAAUGGACGUUCCUGGUGCUCACUACGUGAUGUAGACAAAGAAGCCACAACUGUCAGUAAAAAAUGUGAAAGGGCAACCGAACUUACCAAUUAUUCGUAGAUAGCCAAAAAUUGUGUAAUCUCAAAAAAAUAAUGUUAGCAAUAUGUAAUAAUUCUUGUAGGCUUUAUGUUUAUUAAUAUUGUAUUAUUGCUGCUAAUAUUUAUCUUAUUGAGGAAGUAACCCGUUUGUUGUAAAGAAUGUAGACAUGUACGAUAAUAAGAUAUAACAUUUUGCGGAUUAAAAUGAGAUUUAUUGAUAUUUGCCAGAUGAACAUUAUAUAGGCCUACAGUAUAUAAACAUAAAAUGUAUAUAUAUAUAUAUAUAUAUAUAUAUAUAUAAUCACAACUUGAUUUCAAUGAUUGAAAAUAAAUAUCAAAUGGAAUUGUGCAUUUCUUUUCAUCUUAUUUAAUAUCUAUGUUUACUGUAAUAAAUCCAAUAGCUAAAAUAUCCUUAUUAUGAUAAGCUUAUAUACUUAAACCAAAAAGUGAAGAAUUGCUUCAUCAAUAUGUAGGCCUACUACUUUAUCUAAUAAACUAGCAAUUCUUUCGAGGACGCCCUUAACAAAAACAUAAAACCGGAAAUGACGUGGUUGCUAAGCAACAAGCUCAUGCAUAAUCAUGAAUAUUCAGUGACACCUGUUAUAAUUAGACUAACAAUAAAAUCUUU